UCUACUUCUGUAUCCGGUAAUUGUAGCGUCCCGGUUGAAUAAGAUGGUCUCUUAAACUGAUGGUUCACAGUCCUUUAUUGAACAGCCUUUUAUUGUGAACUCACCGUAAGAGCUACAAAAUAUACAAAUAAAAUAACAUUAGUACUCAAA